CUGAGAGCAACAAGGAUUCAGACACGAGUUGGUGGAGUUGACACCAAUGGCUGAAUCUCUUCCAUUUUGCAGGUUUUAACUUGGAUUUUCUUACAUUGCACUACGUUGAAGACCCAAUUCCUGGAAAAGAGCAAGGGCCAUUUGAGUGGAUGACUGUACUGCCUCAUAACAUUGAUCCUUGAACAACCAGUGGUUGAGGUAUGGGAAGACUAAAAUCACCUCCCAAUCAAGGUGGACUCCAUCUCUUUCCAGCUGUUCUCUUUCCCAGAACACGAUCUCAUGAUUGAGGAAGACAAAGGCCUCCUGUCAACACUGUCCGCGCAGCAACGCAUUCAUCACCAGGAUUUGUCUGUCCCUGCCUGGGCCCUUAACCUCAACCAGCAGGCUAGAGGAUACCACCACCUGCACUCUGGCUCUUUCAUCCUCACUUCCAGAGGCCUGUAAGUCACUGCUGAUCUGUUCAGGAUCAUAUGUGUCAGUAGUGCCCACAUGGAUGAGUAGCAUAGGGUGGUGGACAGAAGGAUGGAUGAGCCUUGGCAACCUUUCCAUAAUGUCUAGGAUGCAGUAUAUUACAGUAAUUGUUAAAAAAUGUAUAAUGUUAAUAAAUACAUAGGUUUGAUUAAACAAAGUAGUUGUUCUUA